UUAACAACCAGUAGAAAAACAAUGCAGCCGGGCCUGUUGAGUAUGUGACAUCGAUGCCGCACAAAUUGCGUCUGUCAAAUAAUGUUGGCGACUAUCUCAACAGGGCCAGGAUAAAAUGCGGACGCGGAACGCGGACUGCGGACAGGAGAAACUGCGGACUUUCACCUGCGGACUGGCCCAAAAUUUUUGACAGCAGUCCGCAGUUUCUCCACAGGGUAGCUGUCCGCAGUCCGCGUAUUAUACGGGGAUACAGCAUUCCAUAUAGACAUGUCUAUGCGUUGGUAAGGCAGAAAAUUGGCAUUGAAUUUACUCUAGUCAAGACAGAUCAACCUUAUUUUUGUCAUGCAUUGGCUGUUGUUCGAUAACUGUUGCUUUUUAAAAAUAUGUAUGCAUGCAACAAUUCCAAUGAAUAAAAAUAAAAAUGCGCACAGCUCUUAGCAGCUGACUAUUUGUUUUUUUUUUUUCCUAUAGGCCAAAUCCAUUAUAUUCUAUUUUCUUUUAUGCACAACUAAGAAUUUGAAUUAGACAACCGUAGCGCAGUUAAGUCGUCCUUCAGAAGGCGGCAAUGUGGUACCAAACUUUGCAAAGAAUGGUACCACAAGGAAUUUCUUCCAAAAGAACAGCAUUAUGCCUUUCAGGAAUUUUUAAAAACCCCUUGGAAAUACCCCAAAUCCUUUUAAGUUUAUUACAUGUUUUAUUUGCAUUGUUGUACCAAGAGUUUACCUAGUUAAGAAGUAACCAUGUUAUAUAAACUGUCCUUUACUUUCAUAUUUUGAAUAAUGCAUAUGUUGACUUUUAAAUACUAUUUUUAGUUUGAAAUUUAAUAUCAGAUAUGGGCAUGGAGUCCGCAGAUACCAGUCCGCAGUUUAUCCUGUCCGGUCCGCACUUUCAAUCGCUCCAUUCCGCAGGUGAAAGUCCGCAGUUUCUCCUGUCCGCAGUCCGCGGUCCGCGUCCGCAUUUUAUCCUGGCCCUAUCUCAACAAGGUCUCUGACUGAGCAAGGCCUACUUAAUGCUUAAGGCCUGUAAACUCGUAUACCUCCUAUGGCGGUGACGCGUUACAUGGCAACAGAGUCAUAGAGGGGAU